AGUGAACGCUGGCGGUAGGCCUAACACAUGCAAGUCGAACGGCAGCACAGUAAGAGCUUGCUCUUACGGGUGGCGAGUGGCGGACGGGUGAGGAAUACAUCGGAAUCUACUUUUUCGUGGGGGAUAACGUAGGGAAACUUACGCUAAUACCGCAUACGACCUACGGGUGAAAGCAGGGGAUCUUCGGACCUUGCGCGAUUGAAUGAGCCGAUGUCGGAUUAGCUAGUUGGCGGGGUAAAGGCCCACCAAGGCGACGAUCCGUAGCUGGUCUGAGAGGAUGAUCAGCCACACUGGAACUGAGACACGGUCCAGACUCCUACGGGGGGCAGCAGUGGGGAAUAUUGGACAAUGGGCGCAAGCCUGAUCCAGCCAUACCGCGUGGGCGAAGAAGGCCUUCGGGUUGUAAAGCCCUUUUGUUGGGAAAGAAAAGCAGCAGGUUAAUACCCCGCUGUUCUGACGGUACCCAAAGAAUAAGCACCGGCUAACUUCGUG
rnacentral:rRNA from 1 species